AUACGUAGGUGGCAAGCGUUGUCCGGAAUUAUUGGGCGUAAAGCGCAUGUAGGCGGUUUGGUAAGUCGGUCGUGAAAAUGCGGUGCUUAACGCCGUAUGGCGAUUGAAACUGCUGAACUUGAGUGCAGGAGAGGAAAGGGGAACUCCCAGUGCAGCGGUGAAAUGCGUAGAUAUUGGGAAGAACACCGGUGGCGAAGGCGCCUUUCUGGACUGUGUCUGACGCUCAGAUGCGAAAGCCAGGGUAGCGAACGGGAUUAGAUACCCCGGUAGUCCUGGCCGUAAACGAUGGGUACUAGGUGUGGGAGGUAUCGACUCCUUCCGUGCCGGAGUUAACGCAAUAAGUACCCCGCCUGGGGAGUACGGCCGCAAGGCUUAAACUCAAAGGAAUUGACGGGG
rnacentral:rRNA from 1 species